AAACAUGUGACGAUGAUGACGUUU
rnacentral:misc_RNA from 1 species